AACAAGGUAGAAGGAAGCUGUGU
rnacentral:piRNA from 1 species